AGCGGCGGACGGGUGAGUAAUGCUUAGGAAUCUGCCUAUUAGUGGGGGACAACAUUCCGAAAGGAAUGCUAAUACCGCAUACGUCCUACGGGAGAAAGCAGGGGAUCUUCGGACCUUGCGCUAGUAGAUGAGCCUAAGUCGGAUUAGCUAGUUGGUGGGGUAAAGGCCUACCAAGGCGACGAUCUGUAGCGGGUCUGAGAGGAUGAUCCGCCACACUGGGACUGAGACACGGCCCAGACUCCUACGGGAGGCAGCAGUGGGGAAUAUUGGACAUGGGGGGAACCCUGAUCCAGCCAUGCCGCGUGUGUGAAGAAGGCCUUAUGGUUGUAAAGCACUUUAAGCGAGGAGGAGGCUACUGAGACUAAUACUCUUGGAUAGUGGACGUUACUCGCAGAAUAAGCACCGGCUAACUCUGUGCCAGCAGCCGCGGUAAUACAGAGGGUGCGAGCGUUAAUCGGAUUUACUGGGCGUAAAGCGUGCGUAGGCGGCUGAUUAAGUCGGAUGUGAAAUCCCUGAGCUUAACUUAGGAAUUGCAUUCGAUACUGGUCAGCUAGAGUAUGGGAGAGGAUGGUAGAAUUCCAGGUGUAGCGGUGAAAUGCGUAGAGAUCUGGAGGAAUACCGAUGGCGAAGGCAGCCAUCUGGCCUAAUACUGACGCUGAGGUACGAAAGCAUGGGGAGCAAACAGGAUUAGAUACCCUGGUAGUCCAUGCCGUANACGAUGUCUACUAGC
rnacentral:rRNA from 1 species